rnacentral:rRNA from 1 species
GACGUAGGGCGCGAGCGUUGUCCGGAUUUAUUGGGCGUAAAGAGCUCGUAGGCGGCUCGUUGCGUCAACCGUGAAAACCUACUGCUUAACGGUGGGCUUGCGGUUGAUACGGGCGGGCUGGAGUUCGGUAGGGGAGACUGGAAUUCCUGGUGUAGCGGUGAAAUGCGCAGAUAUCAGGAGGAACACCGGUGGCGAAGGCGGGUCUCUGGGCCGAUACUGACGCUGAGGAGCGAAAGCGUGGGGAGCGAACAGG